rnacentral:rRNA from 1 species
UUAUUUGAUUUUCUUCGGAACUGAAGAUUUGGUGAUUGAGUGGCGGACGGGUGAGUAACGCGUGGGUAACCUGCCCUGUACAGGGGGAUAACAGUCAGAAAUGACUGCUAAUACCGCAUAAGACCACAGCACCGCAUGGUGCAGGGGUAAAAAACUCCGGUGGUAUAAGAUGGACCCGCGUUGGAUUAGCUAGUUGGUGGGGUAACGGCCCACCAAGGCGACGAUCCAUAGCCGGCCUGAGAGGGUGAACGGCCACAUUGGGACUGAGACACGGCCCAGACUCC